GAUGAACGCUGGCGGCGUGCCUAAUACAUGCAAGUCGAGCGAACGGACGAGAAGCUCGCUUCUCUGAUGUUAGCGGCGGACGGGUGAGUAACACGUGGAUAACCUACCUAUAAGACUGGGAUAACUUCGGGAAACCGGAGCUAAUACCGGAUAAUAUUUUGAACCGCAUGGUUCAAAAGUGAAAGACGGUCUUGCUGUCACUUAUAGAUGGAUCCGCGCUGCAUUAGCUAGUUGGUAAGGUAACGGCUUACCAAGGCAACGAUGCAUAGCCGACCUGAGAGGGUGAUCAGCCACACUGGAACUGAGACACGGUCCAGACUCCUACGGGAGGCAGCAGUAGGGAAUCUUCCGCAAUGGGCGAAAGCCUGACGGAGCAACGCCGCGUGAGUGAUGAAGGUCUUCGGAUCGUAAAACUCUGUUAUUAGGGAAGAACAUAUGUGUAAGUAACUGUGCACAUCUUGACGGUACCUAAUCAGAAAGCCACGGCUAACUACGUG
rnacentral:rRNA from 1 species